rnacentral:ncRNA from 1 species
GACUGUCAAAGUAAACCAGAGCGUCGCGUAGCUGGCCGAGCCGCACAGACGCGAUGUGAUUUCUGCUCAGUGCCCUGAAUGUCAGUGUAGAAAUUCAACCAAGCGUGAGUAAACGGUGGGAGUAACUAGGAGCAGCAUUUUUCUAGCGUGCCUUUAUAUAUAUAUAUAUAUAUAUAUAUAUAUAU